UACGUAGGGUGCAAGCGUUGUCCGGAAUUAUUGGGCGUAAAGAGCUCGUAGGCGGUCUGUCGCGUCGGCUGUGAAAACCCGGGGCUCAACCCCGGGCCUGCAGUCGAUACGGGCAGACUAGAGUGCGGUAGGGGAGACUGGAAUUCCUGGUGUAGCGGUGAAAUGCGCAGAUAUCAGGAGGAACACCGGUGGCGAAGGCGGUUCUCUGGGCCGAUACUGACGCUGAGGAGCGAAAGCGUGGGGAGCGAACAGG
rnacentral:rRNA from 1 species